rnacentral:rRNA from 1 species
UACGAAGGGGGCUAGCGUUGUUCGGAAUCACUGGGCGUAAAGCGCACGUAGGCGGAUCUUUAAGUCAGGGGUGAAAUCCCGAGGCUCAACCUCGGAACUGCCUUUGAUACUGGGGAUCUCGAGUCCGGGAGAGGUGAGUGGAACUGCGAGUGUAGAGGUGAAAUUCGUAGAUAUUCGCAAGAACACCAGUGGCGAAGGCGGCUCACUGGCCCGGAACUGACGCUGAGGUGCGAAAG